CCGUGGCGGCUGCGCGCGCAUCGCCGCUGUCCUCAGCGGAGCGCCCCCUGCUGGCAGCGGCCGGGAACCGCAGCACGAGCCGCCGGGCCGUGAGCGCCGAUGCACAACCAGAUGGAAGACCUGUCCUUCCAGCCUUCACAGCCUGAGCAACGCGAGGGCCAGAAACGACUGACUUCGUUAUUGAAACUCAUCACCUGGAAUUGACUCAAAUCUAUUUUAAUAAGUAAGAACUUCUCUUACCACCCUCCCCUGCUGCUGCCCUGCACAACUACAUGUGCAAACUAACACCAGGCAAACAGCAUUUACUGUGCUUCCCAGGGGAAAUAGAAGAAUUCAAGAGCUGCAGCUUUGCCAUUUUCCCACAGAAAUGGAGACUAAGGAGCCAUCAUCCUGAUUUUACCUGACCUCAGAGAUCCAAGGGCACACAGACAUGUGGCAAAUGCAUCAGCUGCCCACAACAUACAGAGCAGAGCUAUACAAAAGAUCUGUCUGGGUAGAGUAUGUAUGUUUUUCCUUUCAUCACUUGAUUGUGUCUGCAGAGAUACAGUUAAGGCUCCUUCCGAGCCCCCCUGUGCUGACCCUGCCAGCAAAGGUUAGGAAAUCAGCAGGAGCAGAACCAAAAUGCUUGGACACACUUGAAGGCUCUCAUGUAUAUUCCUUCCCUUACAUAAAAGCAGAAGGAAAGGCAGAGUGAAAUGUACCCAAAGCAGCCUGCCCAGCUCCCAGCUGGAGCACUAUCAGGGCUGGGAAGCAGUGGCUAUUUUAAGAUAUGGGGAGGCUGACAAUGUUCAGCUGUCAACACUCAGCAGUGGACAGUAUUUCAAAUAUUUACACUGCCAUGUUCUUCUUCUGAGGAAAUGCAACCAGAGCUGCUGUAUCAAACGGGAAACUAUCAAGAAGGGUCCUCCACUUCCUCACCCACCCAAAUAGGGAUGCUAUGCUCCAGGGCUCAGUGUGGAGCAGGAACCACUACAGUAAUUUGUAAGCAAAAUAGUAUAGUUGGGGAUCUAAAAUAAUCCACAGACAAGACUGGAGAUAAUGAUGCUUUAUUUGUACAUUUCAGCAACAGGAGAAAUUAUCAAAGAUGAAAUUAUUUGCUUUGUUUGUCAAGUAUAAAAACAUUUAAUUAUAAAUAUUUAGCUAAAAAAAAGCGUGAUUUUAUAAAAUAUAAUCUGUGAAGAUAUAUACACAGUUUAAUUGUUUAGCAAUUCUUUCACCUGACAUUAAAGAGUAGAGGUUUUUCUAUUCAUUAUCCCACGCUCACAGUUUAGUGCUUAUAGUUUAAGAAGCAAAACAGACAAAUGAAAAAGAUGACUGCUGGGUUUUGGUCUGGAGAGAAAAAAAUAAAAUGCACCAACUGGGGCAACAGCAAGGACAGAGUCUGAGCAAAUUCAUGUUCUGAGAGGUCUUUCCAAGGGAACAACAGCUUCCCUCUAUCAUAACCUACAGCAUCGCAUCCAGACGAGCAUCGGGUAUUUAACAUUUGUGGGCAAGUUUCCUGUGUGUGUGUCUUAAAGGAAAUAGCUGAGUACAGUGCAAGCCCUCUAAAUCCCAUUCAGCUAGAGAUGCCAACCUCUCUGGUCUUCCCUUCUUGAGUAGGGAUCCCUCAGGAUGCUGAGCUGGUUUCAUCUGCUAUGGCUCUAAUGAAAUCAAACACCACCACCACCUUUAUGAUUCAGGAUGAGCACAUAUCCUAACUGGGGAAAAACAAACCAUGUGCCAUCCAAUUCUGUCAUCUAUCUGGCGAUAUCCCUUAAUUACAGAUACAGCUAAGGCUGAAAAAAAUACAGUGAAGCCAUAUAGUACACUAAACACGAUGGAAUGUGAAAGAUACAUGAUUAGGCAACUCAGCUUUCUAUUCCUUGUUUUAGAGAGCCAGCUUCCUCCCUUCUAAGUUCUCAGAAAUCCAGUAUCUGACUGAAAGGUUAGUAUGGCACUUCAGAGAAGGAAGAACUGGAAGACUCUCCAACAUGCCGGGCAGAAGAAAAAAGCUACAGGAAAUGAUUAAUUUGAUCCCUGUCCCUAGUAGUUAUCUUUCUCUCUUCACAGUGCUUUCAGUGCCUGCAGCACAGGGCUUUGAGGAAGACUGAUAAGUCAAGGAUGUGUGACAACAGUGGCACAAACAUACAGGAAGUGAAUCUGUACUUCGUAUGCUCUGCUUUACACAAGACCUCACUACUUGAAUGUAAGCAAGGAAUGAAUUAAUAAGGAGGUUAAGAGCGAAG